rnacentral:rRNA from 1 species
AGUGAACGCUGGCGGUAGGCCUAACACAUGCAAGUCGAACGGCAGCACAGUAAGAGCUUGCUCUUACGGGUGGCGAGUGGCGGACGGGUGAGGAAUACAUCGGAAUCUACUUUUUCGUGGGGGAUAACGUAGGGAAACUUACGCUAAUACCGCAUACGACCUACGGGUGAAAGCAGGGGAUCUUCGGACCUUGCGCGAUUGAAUGAGCCGAUGUCGGAUUAGCUAGUUGGCGGGGUAAAGGCCCACCAAGGCGACGAUCCGUAGCUGGUCUGAGAGGAUGAUCAGCCCCACUGGAACUGGGACACGGUCCAGACUCCUACGGGAGGCAGCAGUGGGGAAUAUUGGACAAUGGGCGCAAGCCUGAUCCAGCCAUGCCGCGUGGGUGAAGAAGGCCUUCGGGUUGUAAAGCCCUUUUGUUGGGAAAGAAAAGCAGCAGGUUAAUACCCCGCUGUUCUGACGGUACCCAAAGAAUAAGCACCGGCUAACUUCGUG